AAGAACAAUGUCGGUGCACAGGUGAAAGUACAAUCUUACCCCUUUCAAACAAAGUACAAUGUUACCCCUUUCACUACAUCUCAAACAAAGCCUACCUGAUCUCCUGCCAACACAGCCGCUCCACUCCCUCACUCCCACAUCUCCGGCUCUUGGAUUCCCGACGACACCCACCAGCCGAACACCACCCCCCUGUCAGUUGCAGAGCCGACCGCCACCAUCGGGUGGUGGUGAGUGACGUUUGGACCCAGAAGUGAGAGAGAUCAGAGAGAAAGAGGAGAGCCGACGUUGUUCGAGCGGCGACAAGGCUGAGAAGAGAGAGAGAGAGGCAUAUGGACGAGAGAGAAAGAAGGGUGGCGGCAGCACCGCCGUAUACGUCGGUGGCCGGCGGCGGUUCGGAAUGAUUUUCUGGCGACCCGCCAGAGAAGAUGAUGGUGGCGGCGGUUUUGUUUCUCCUGACAGCUUCACGAUGAGAGGUUGAAAGGGACUGAUGGUGCGUUGAUUUGUGUGGUUGUUUCGAGCUCGGGUCAGGUUAAGGAUCAAGGUCAGCCGCGGUUCAGGAGUUUCGGUUCACCCAUGGGUUUGUUCGGGUCAGAUCUGGUCAAGCCUUGGAUGGUCAGCUUUGGAUCAAAGUCAGUGGGUUCGGGUCGGAUCUAGAGAUGUUUGGGUCAAGCUCUGAAUUUUUGGGUUUUGGUUGACUCGGUCAAACACUCAAGAGGACUAACCAGCUGGACCUCAGUCUGCAGCCAAUAUAUUCAUGCUACUAGAGGCUUCAUGAUUUGUCCUCGGCUCUCGAGCAACCACAACAGUAUUAAUUACAGUUAGUUGUACGUGAUGACGAUCAGAAGCGGAGCAUGAACGAAAACGCGGUGGGGGCCGGACUCUCAAAAUCCUAAAGACGGUAUGAAGGUUAUGGAUUCAUCGGAACGAAAAAGUCAUCAACAGAACAAAAACAUCGGUGUUCAAGGUAGUGGAGGACAUAAAAGAAAUAACGUUUUGGUGGGUGACGAAGUGGUCAAGGCUUCAAGGGAAUCACUUUGCAAAAGGGGUGUUCAUUUACUGGUGAAAUGCUCUAAAGGAACCACAAAACUCCACCAAAUCUUGCAAAGCUAGGAUGGGAUCGCAGGUGUCACUUCAAGGUAUUUUUUGGUUUAUUUCAUUCAAAGGUGAAUUCACACGUCACGCGUGGCGUGCCACACAUGAAUGUCAUCAUCGUCACGCGUGUGACUUGAUGUCGUCGCCGCAACGCGCGGCGCGGGUAAAAAACUAGUUGAAUAUGGAAUCAAAAGGUUAUGGUGUUUAAUGCUUCACCGGUUUGACUUCUCGGCAAUCAUUAUAGUCAGUUUACACACACAAAUGCCGUCUGAUCACAACCCAACCCUACUGCAUAUAAAUCCCAAAUCAAUCAGUCAAUUCUCCAAAUUAGGGCAUUCAAAUCUCAGAUUUAAAGGUUAAAAAACGGUUGAACAAGAUGUUGACGAAGCUUGAGACGAAGAGUGAUCGAGUGAAAGGUUUGAGUUUCGACAGCAAGAGGUUGUGGAUCUUGGCGAGUCUUCACAGUGGUGUGAUUCAGCUAUGGGAUUACCGGAUGGGGGUUUGAUGAACAUGAUCAUCCUGGUUCGUGGCGUGCCCUCAGACGCAACCGCUUUUUUGUUUCAGGAGGUUUGUUAUGUUAUGUUUGGAUUGUGUUCAGAUGUAUGGAAUGGUUGUGGAUUUUAGGGAUUUUUUUUACAGGUGACUAAAAGUCAUGACUUUUUAAAUCUAAAAAACAUUGGGUACUUGUGAAUGGGUUGUGUUUUAUCUCAAACUGGUCAAAUAAAAAUAAAGAUGGUAUAGUUUCAGUUUUAUAGUUUGAUUUUUUUAUUAUCAAAUUUGGCUGGGUUUAUAAUCUGUAUCGUUUUUGGCCCUGUCCAACCGACCCAUGUUCAAAGAAUUGUGUAAUAGAUGAGCAUACUGAAGAUGAAAUAUAACUUCUUAAUCAUGUCUCACACAUUAUUAAGUCACUAAAUAAAUCCAAAAGAUUUGUACAAACAGCGUAAUGGUUCGACCCGUCCGACCCAAGUUCAAAGAAUGGUGUAAAAGAUGGGGGAUAUAACUUUAUUAUUCGUGUCUCAUACACUAUAAAGUUGUAAAAAAUCAAGAACUUUUGGACAAACUAUGUUUUGGGUCGAAUCGACUCGGUCAUGUUCAGAGAAUGGUGUAAAAGAUGAGCAUAUUGAGGGUGGAAUAGUGGUCCUAUGAGAAGUUAUAAAAAGGAGGAUGUGGGUUUCAUGGACAUGCAAAGCUUUUAGCUGUAUAUAGCUUUUGUUUUUGUUAUAGAUUUACAGGAGCUGGAUUGUGACCAGACCAUAAGCUUCGAAGAGCAUGUGGGUUUGAUGGACUUAUGUCUUUAUUCCCUAUAACGGCACGUAUGAUGACCUGGUCGCUGAAGUUCAUAACAAGGUAUAAUAUUUUUUUUCCUAAGCUUUAUAUUUGCAUAAUAUAUUAAGGGUGUAGGUCUAAUCGGGUUGUUCAUGGGUCACGGGUCAGCUGUGGAUAGUUUGGAAUGGGUCAACAGUUAUUUAGUCACAGGUUCAUUGAAUGGUUGUUAUGGGAUUCCGUUACCACAGCUCAUUGAAUGAGGUUAUGAACCUCAAGUUUCGACAUUAUGAUCUAAUUAUAGAUUUCCGUUACCACAGCUCAUUGCAGUGGCGGAGUAUUAUGGGUGCCCGGGGGUGCACCCGCCCACCCCAAUGUUUCGGUUAGAAGUGUAUAAGUUCUGAUUUUUCGUCCGAAAAUUUUAAAAUUAUAUAGGAUCGCCCCCUCGAUUAUUUUUCCUAAAUUGUAUAUCCUAAAUAUUUAUAAACUUUGUAUAUAAAUGAUGGGUAGUUUGGUAAAUAUACACUUUGUUUUAUUUGGAACUAUUAUUAUUUAACCCGACUUGAAUCGAAUAGCCAACCCGACCCGACCCAAAACAUAACGAUAGGGAAAAAAAUUUUGGGUCCCAUCACUUUACGCCCCCUCGAAACUUUUGGUCAAGCUCCGCCACUGGCUCAUUGAAUGGUUGUUAUGGGGUUCCGCGGGUUCACUACAAGGGACGGCAAGGCGAUUUUUACAUUCUGGUGAGUUUCGACUCUUGACUUUGACAUCAUGAACCACUCAGUUUGUAGUUGAAUAAUUGGUAUUUAUAAUUAUUUAUGGUUUUAUAUGGUCAAAGUUUUCUGAAACCAACCGUCGGUUCAUGAGCAAACCGAAAAAAGAAAAGAAACCGAAACCGAAACCAAAACCAAAACCGAAAACCGAAAUACGGAAUCAAGUCUCACCUCUGCCUGAGCUCAUUGCGGAGCCCACGAGUGCCAGGUCAAUAUCGUUUGUCAGGACCCACGAGUAUUUAGCUCCGGAGAUGAUCAAAGGCGAAGGUCAUGGCAGCGCGGUUGACUGGUGGACGUUCGGGAUAUUUCUUUACGAGCUUUUGUUCGGGAAAACUCCGUUCAAGGGGAACGGUAACCGGGCCACUUUGUUUAACGUUGUCGGGCAACCGUUGAGAUUUCCCGAUCGCCUUCGGUUAGUUUUGCGGCGAGGGAUUUGAUCACGGGGUUACUUUUGAAAGAGCCGCAACAUCGACUGGCGUAUAAACGAGGGGCAACUAAGAUCAAACAGCACCCGUUUUUUCAGAGUGUGAACUGGGCGCUGAUCCGCUGCGCUACUCCGCCGGAUGUACCGAAACCGGCGUCGGAAAUGGUGGUGGUAGAUGUGAAACCUUCCGGUAACUACUUAGAGAUUGAUUUCUUUUAGUGUUGCCUGUCAAUGGAUUCUACUAAAUUUCAAAGGAACUUGAACCUGUGUUUUUCUUUUUUCUUAUGUUUAUGGUGGCUUCUAAUUGCCUUGUUUCAAUUAAUUUAUUACUGUUUAACAAAAUCCUAAUAAUGCCAAUAUUUUUCUUUUUAUAUUGUGUUAUUUUAUAUUUUUUUAGCUAUAAUACAACUAUAUAUAGUUAUAUACUUAUGAACCCAAACACUACUUUUACAUUUUUAUUUAUAUUUGUUAAUUUCAAAAGCA